rnacentral:rRNA from 1 species
UACGGAGGGGGCUAGCGUUGUUCGAAAUUACUGGGCGUAAAGCGCGCGUAGGCGGCUUUGUAAGUUAGAGGUGAAAGCCCGGAGCUCAACUCCGGAACUGCCUUUAAGACUGCAUCGCUAGAAUUGUGGAGAGGUGAGUGGAAUUCCGAGUGUAGAGGUGAAAUUCGUAGAUAUUCGGAAGAACACCAGUGGCGAAGGCGACUCACUGGACACAUAUUGACGCUGAGGUGCGAAAGCGUGGGGAGCAAACAGG